rnacentral:rRNA from 1 species
GCCAUUCCGCGUGAGUGAAGAAGGCCUUCGGGUUGUAAAGCUCUUUCGCAAGGGAAGAAAGAUUGCUCUCUAAUAUAGAGUGAUUAUGACGGUACCUUGAUAAGAAGCACCGGCUAACUACGUGCCAGCAGCCGCGGUAAUACGUAGGGUGCGAGCGUUAAUCGGAAUUACUGGGCGUAAAGCGUGCGCAGGCUGUUUUGUAAGUCAGAUGUGAAAUCCCCGAGCUCAACUUGGGAACUGCGUUUGAAACUACAAGACUAGAAUAGGUCAGAGGGGGGUAGAAUUCCACGUGUAGCAGUGAAAUGCGUAGAGAUGUGGAGGAAUAUCAAUGGCGAAGGCAGCCCCCUGGGAUCAUAUUGACGCUCAUGCACGAAAGCGUGGGGAGCAAACAGGAUUAGAUACCCUGGUAGUCCACGCCCUAAACGAUGUCAACUAGUUGUUGGUAGAGUAAAAUCUAUGAGUAACGCAGCUAACGCGUGAAGUUGACCGCCUGGGGAGUACGAUCGCAAGAUUAAAACUCAAAUGAAUUGACGGGGGCCCGCACAAGCGGUGGAUUAUGUGGAUUAAUUCGAUGCAACGCGAAAAACCUUACCUGGCCUUGACAUGUAACGAACUUUCCAGA